GGUGGGCGAGGACCCGGUGCAGCUCGGCCUCGCUGUGACCGAGGCGGGCCUGGGUCUCGCCCAGCUGCCGCCU
rnacentral:tRNA from 3 species